rnacentral:rRNA from 1 species
AUGACGAGGAACCAGAUAUUGAUCCUUACAUACAGCAGCCAUCAAUGCAAUCUGGGGCGUCACGUCGUGCUCCAAAAAGAAAAAGACGGGGGAGAGGAGGAGGACAAGGAAGAAGAUCGUGAGGCAGAGGAGGAGGAAGAAGAAGGUGAGGCCAAAGAGGGGGACGGGGACAAAGGGGCAGCAGUUGAUGGCAGUGAGAGGGGAGAAGACAAAGGCGCAACAGCUGAUGGCAGUGAGAGGGAAGAAGACGAUGAUGAAGAAGACGAGGAUGGUUAUGGUGAUGAUAAAUGGGGAUCCAAUGGAGGCAGCGACAGCAGCGAUGACGAUAAUGAUGACAACGCCCCUAGUUCUGGUGGAUUUGCCAAAGUUAAAGAAAAAUGA